UCUACUCAGUAGCUAGAAAUAGCCCCAAAGAAACUAUUACAGAGGAAUAAUGUACUGGAAAAGAAAGAAUCAGAGCCCAUAGAACUUUGAAGAAACCUUCACAUGAGUGUUUUAAAAGAGAUUAUUCCCAACAGAGCUGUGGAUCCUGUUUGGUCAUACCUUCUUCAGGAGGAAUCUGAGAGGCACAGAUAUUCAUGAAUUUGGCUGGCAGCUGAGCAGCAGAUUUCUGUGGAGGAGAUUUCUGAGGAAACUUAAGAAGCAAAAACUAUCCAAAAAUCACCAAGAGAGAAAUUAAGGGGCAUUUUUAAAGUGCUUCUGGCAGAAACAUUUUACAAGAGAGGAUGCCCUGGGCUUCUUCCUGGAAGCUAGAAGACUCUGUGUGUGGGGAGGCUGACGCCAGCCAUGCAAAGCCGGUGAUCUGGACAAAUGUACACCUGAUCAGCUGAUCUGGAAAAUUCUCCUCAUUCAUCACCCAGUAUGCUUGCUUACCCCAAAACAUGCACACACAAUGUACUUUCAGCAUUUCAGAAAGCGGGCAUUUUCCCUCAAAUACUGGAGAAAAUAGAAGUGGCUGCCUAUUACUCCACAGGUUGCCAGAUUCAAGGUGAGAGGAGAGGGCGCUCUGAAGAUGAGCUCUUUCUAUGGAGUGUACCUUUCCAGAAAUAUUUUUGCACAGAAAAUAGAGGGUUCCUAAGAAGCAUGUGAGCGGUUCUUUAUUUCCAUGGUCUCACACAAGCAAAGGGGCAGGCUUUAAGGAGCCAUUUCCAUAUUAAGUUUAAGUUUACUGGUCAAAGAUAAUACCCUAAGUUACACCCAGGAAUGAAAUCCAAACAGGUGAGCACUGAGUGCUUCCUGCAAGAAUGCCUGGUCAGCAAGCCAGCAGUGACAUGCCACUCCAGCUGUAAGUAAUCCUAACCUGGGGCCAAAUUAUGCAGGGUCUGAACUGUGCUCUGCACUUGGCACAGAGUAAAUUGGCAAUCUAACAGGCAAAGAGUUUGCUGUCUAAAUUUAGAUGUGUUGCUACAAUGAGAACAACCAAUAUGGUGAUUAUGGACAAAGGGAAUAUAGGAAUCACAGCCUUCUCCUCAAAACUGCUUGGAUCUGGCACAUGUCAUGUUUUGAUGAUGUUUCUAUUAAUUUUAAAGAUAUCGUUCAAUAAAAUUGGGCCUCACCAU